rnacentral:lncRNA from 1 species
AUCUCUACUUAAAGAUGUUCUCUUCUGGAAAGUUGGCAAGCACUGAUCCUCAGAAAGAGAUACUGAAAGGCCACACUGUCAAAUCUCCCAGAAACCUUCUCUUCUCCAGGCUGCACAGCCUCAGCUCCCUCAGCCUGUCCUUGAAGGAGAAGUGUUCCAUCCUUCCAUCCCUUGGAUCAUUUUUGCAUCCCUCCUCUGGAUGGACUCCAACAGAUCCACGUCUCUCCUACACUGAGGACUCCACAUCUGGAUGCAGUACUCCAGAAACCUGUCUUAUGAGAAAGAAAAAAACCACAACACUGCAGAGCAUCCAAAUCUCCUUUAAAGAUGCAGUGAUUUCCAUCGAAAGCUGUUAAGAAGAUUUGGAAAGAAAACGAUGGAACUUGCAUUUUAAUCUCACAAGCUGGCAAUAGGUUUUAAACAGCAUUGUAUGGUUGGACUGUAAGUGAUAAAAUACAGGUUGAAUUUCUUUGGAAGGCCAUUCAUGAAAAAACAACACUCUUCUAGUGUAGUCUACCAAAGAAAUCCCCUUGGAAUCCCUUGCUCUAAAUGUUCUUCCUCAUUUCUGGAUGGCUCUCAAAGUCUUUUACACCUGCAAAAAUACACUGUCGACAUUUUCUUACUUUGAAUACAGAAAAAUGUUCAGUGCAAGAGAAUGGAGAAUUAAGGCCUCCAUCUUACUGUAGUGAAAAGAAACCUAGCUUCACACUGAUCCAGAUUUUGACCUUGGAUAGGUAUCGUUAGAUCUUUUGGUUUAAUUAAAACUUAGCUCUAUGUUUCUCCACUUUGAAUGCUUUCACUGUAGUGUUCUUAAACUCUGAGUUUUAUGUAGUUGUGAGUAGGGAUUUUGAAGGCUAUUAACUCAUUGAAGUGCAAAAGUUCAUAACCUCUUACAGCAAUACACUUUUUUUAUGAUUGUCAGACAGUUAGAGCUGUACAUAGCAAGCAGACUUGAAUAUGACUUUGAAGAAUUUGAGGAGAAUGCUUCAUACUCAGGGAUAAUUCUGAAGUGCAGUUAUGCCUGCCUUGUGUUGCUAUUUUUCUUGCUUCUGACUUUCAUAGAUUCACCACUUCAAUUCCUCUUGAUUAAUAGGAAAGUCAGGAAAAAUAUUAUUUUAAUAUCAUUUGCAGAGUGUACCUGACCAGCACAGGUUGUUUGAAGGAAUAGCCAGGCACUAUGCAAGAGAGAGUAAAGAAGAUAUGCCACCAUGACAGAAUGUGCAGUUGCUCCUUAAGUAAUGCCUCCUAUUUAUUUCCAUGGAAACUUCUAAGAACAGGUACAAAGUGCAGGAUAAAACUACUUGAAUAGAGCAAAUUCUCAGCUACAAAACACCAUUUUUCAACACAGUAACCACCAUUAGGUGUGCAUUUUUGCCAGUGAUGAACAAGAAUCUGCAUGCCAUGCACCAGCAGAGGUGACCAUUGUUGCCACUCUGCUGAAAUGCACCACCUACUGCCUCACUGCACUUACAUUCACUGUUUGGUCUCCAGAAAUGUCCAGCAGGCAUUGAUGAAUGUCAGUGGGAGCCAUUUUUUUUCUGCAUGAAAUAGUUAACUGACACAUCUUUCCUUCAUCUGCACUUCCAUGGCAGAUGCCAUUCUGCCAGACUUGCCUCUCUGCUGCCGUCAGUCACACAGCAGCAAAAAGUAUUGGAAUGUUGGUGGGAAGGUCCAACAUAUACUGCCAUGUCACCAACAUCUGUCUCUGAUAUUGUGGGCCACCAUCAUAACAUAGGAGGCAUUACUUUCAGAGCAGCCCUUGUGCAUCACAACACAAUACCAUGAGAACAUUUUUCACUUCUCAAAGUGGAAAGUCUGGCAAAUGCUCACAUUUGCAUAUGUGUGUGUGUAAUUUCAGAUAUAACAACUGAUUUUUCAUACAGUUCUAUACAAAUUUGCAGGGUUUUUUUCAACAUAGCAACAUCUUCUGCUACGUGGAUGACCAUGAAUAAAUGUUGUAGCAGAAUUUCAAAUAACAAGCUUGUGAACCAAUGUAAUUCCAGGGAUGCUGCUUUGAAAACAGUUGAAUUUCUCCCAGUUUUCAGCAGUAUAGCUGAGAACAGAACUUCACACUUUCUUGGUUUUGCUAGGAAAUAUAAAAUGUCAAGUAGCAAUUCAAAAAAUAUCUAAUUCUGUAGGAACCUAGGCUUUCUGCAGAUAGCUCUUUUGUUUCCUGUGAAUUUUUACCAGGUUUUAGCCAGAGCUGCUGAAGACUACAGAAAAACAGAAGGGAACACGGAUCUGAGUUACUGCCCUUUUAAUAAGAGAUCAAGCUUCUUUAAAGCCACUCUAAUUUGUGAGCAGAGAUCAAACACUUUGCUUAAGAUAAUGAGUGUAGUAAAUUUGGGAAAAAUGCUUUGAUUGCUCAGCAGUGCAUGGCUUUCUUUUUCUAAAAGAAAUGAUGUCUCAGAGAUACUACGUAAGGAUCUUGAUUAACUAUUUAGCUUCUGCAUCUGAAAGUCAAGAUGAUUUACAAGUAGUUUUGAUUUUUGGGCCAGCUAAAGUGAUCAUUGUGUGUAAUUGCCAUGUUUUACAUUUGACUUUCUGAUUAACGUUUACUAAAGAGUGUGUGUAUGUGAAUAUAUAUAUUCAUUUAACUUCCAAGCACGUUUUCAAAAUCAAGCUAGGUUGUUUUGUUCCAUGUUUUUUUGGGGGGGGGUGUGUAAUUAGGGUAAUUUUUUUUUUUUUUGGAAGGAUUUUUCUUUUCUUGCCUAUUAUCACCAGAAAUAAAUGGAUUAAAGCAACCGUG